UACGUAGGUGGCAAGCGUUAUCCGGAAUUAUUGGGCGUAAAGCGCGCGCAGGUGGUUUCUUAAGUCUGAUGUGAAAGCCCACGGCUCAACCGUGGAGGGUCAUUGGAAACUGGGAGACUUGAGUGCAGAAGAGGAAAGUGGAAUUCCAUGCGUAGCGGUGAAAUGCGUAGAGAUAUGGAGGAACACCAGUGGCGAAGGCGACUUUCUGGUCUGUAACUGACACUGAGGCGCGAAAGCGUGGGGAGCAAACAGG
rnacentral:rRNA from 1 species